rnacentral:misc_RNA from 1 species
UAAGCCCUUGUUCUAUAGAUUUGUCUCUAACAUGUUGGGUCUCGGGGGGCUUCCUCUAGAGACUUGGAUGUAAGGGGCUUUACGCAUUCGCAUAACUUAUGAAGUGUGGAUGACUCUAGGAGGGGUCUGAGAAUGUGCUGUGCCAGCCAGGCUGAUAAUUGUUUAAUUGUUAGCUUGGACUUGUACACAGUCUCAUCAGUCUUCAGCUUGGGUCAUUGAUAUUCUGUAAGUCAAAACUUAUCGAUUCACUGUAGUAGGUUGCGGAGGACUUGAAAGUUCUCUCUGCAAUUGAGACACUUACCAGGCCAUCGCAAGUUGGCAGUGUACACUACUGAUUUUACGGUCGUGGGGGACUUGGGAGCUGGUGCUUGUGUCGCAUGAGGUAGAGUUGAUAUGGAUGGAUGGAAGAGAAGCAUAUGUAUGUCGUGGGGGACUUGGGGUAAGACGCCUUGCGGCAAGUAGAGUCAAACCAGUAGUGACUUCUUUUGGUCGUGGGGGACUUUGGUAAUGGUAGUGAGCCGGAAUAAGGGAUGGAUAAAUGUAGUAUGGAUGGUGACAGGGGGAGCAGCAGAGCGUACGCAGUGGGUAUGUAUAUAGUUGAAAAGGGAUGGGCAGUAGAAUUUUGAGGAAUUAAUGACCUAAGGGUGGUUCUAAUAGGCUUGUCAAGAAAAAAGUUAAGUUGAAUCAAGCUGGGUCAAGCAAAGUCUAGAAAAGAUUUAUUG